rfam:Lactococcus garvieae Lg2 DNA, complete genome.
GCGGAAGUGGCGGAAUUGGCAGACGCGCAGGAUUAAGGAUCCUGUGGCCUAUCUUGGCUGUGCGGGUUCAAGUCCCGCCUUCCGCA